rnacentral:lncRNA from 1 species
CUUCAACUCUACCAAGUUUUGGAGGGGCUUGUUUUGCAAAGAACCCAUAAGCCUGACUUGAAAUAAUGUCUGAUCCCUAAACUUGCACCAGCAGGAAAUGGCCUGUAAAAGUCCUUGAGGAUAUCAUUCUCUUUAAAGUCUAUGUCAGAUACCACUAUGGAGGAUAAUGGACAAAGGGUUCUUCGUAGAGAACAGAACCGGCAGCUGCCAGCUUGGCUAAUGAAAUGGAUUCUACUUACGGAGAAGAGCGUGUCUGCUAUUGCUGCUCCACAGGACAUAAAAAUCGCUAUGGAACUUUCUAAACAGAUCAGUUCAGCAAUGGACUUAUGACAUGAUUCUGCUCAAUGAGCCUAAGGAGAAUAUCUGCUGAAUGGUGGAGAGAAUUAAAAAGCUUUUUCUUGCUCCCAAAUAAGGACAAAAGACGAGACACAGUUCACGUGUGCAUUGAAACGAAUGCCCUGCUGUGUGUGCACCUCCAUAUAUCAAACCAGUGCCCUAGGUUUCUGUUACACGUUGAGAGGCAGUGAAACAAAUGGAAGAUGCGUUCCUUCCCCCUUCAAAGACACUUGUAACCCAGCUCAAGUGAGAAAACACAAUCAUAUCUAAAAAUAACUAACAAUAGCAGCUAGUAGCAAUUUAAAGGCCUUGAAUAUUAGGAAAUAAAAAUAGUACAAAGUGCCUUUUAUUUAAGAAAAAACUUCAAAUGCUAUAUACUGGAUUUUCCCGGCUAAAUGUAAAACAAGA